UUUUCUUGUUUGAACCAGUAUUCUUGCCUUUUCGGUAAUAAAAAAGUAAAAUAUGCCGAAAAUAUGCUCUUUUUGGCCCUGCUCAUCUUUGUUAUCGCAUGCGAAAAAAAGAACCGCGCACAAAAUCAAACAAAUUUUUCUUAUAAAUAAAUUAUGAAAUGCCAAUGCUCUCGAAACAUACAAUAACACAGUUUGGAAUGAAGUUGAUUGGAUAAACCUUGAGUGACUAGCGACACUCGUGUGAAAAAACGAAAUUAUUUUCCGAACAAUCCAAUAAUUUCUAGUCUAGAAUGAAGUUGGCUGGAUAAACGUUCGACUAGCGACACUCGUGUGAAAAAACGAAAUUAAUUUCCGAACAACCAAUAGAAAUAGAUUUAGAAAUCAGUCGAUCCAUCUUGUUAACCUCGUUCGAAUCCAAUUUUUCGAAUCUUCACCAUUUUCUUGGGAAUCGAACGCAAUCCGAGAGAAAAUCUUUGUACACGAUACAGGAUACUUGGACGCAAACAUCGUCGAGAGAAUAAAAAGAAUGAUCAUUAUUCGUUUCUUCAUUAUUAAUUCGUUCGGUAUUUUCCUGCGGAAUUGCUCUCCAAGAAAGGAAUAAAUAUUCGAACAGAAUGCAUGUGAUAUAAUAAUAUGACGAUCACGAGGUUAUGAGAAAAGAAAGGCGACUUGAAACGGUACGAUAUAACACAUUUUAUUUUAUCCUCUAGAAAAUAAAUAACGUGAAAAAAUUACAACAGAAAUGGUGUUAUAAUUUUUUAAGAUUGAAUAAUUGUUACUACAGAUCAAUUAGAGAAGACAGUUCUUGCGUCUAAAUUUUCUAAUCGAAAGUUGAAAAGAAAAAUUCGAAGGCCAAAGAAACGUGAGCGAUGAAUGGAACCCCCUCACAGCGGAGGGUAAAAAAAAGACGAGCAAGAUGGUGCCGUGAAUGACGUUGUGUUGCUCUUUCGACGUGUAUGGAAUAAAGAAUGACUACUCUGAAAUGCACCCUGUCUCGACACGAUCGUGCUGGGUACACAAGGGAUUGAAGCAAUUUCAAAUUCCCCCGUUUAACAUCUAAUGUUUGGCUAAGCCCCUGGUGCAAAUGAAGGAGGAGGGUCGCGAAAGCUCAUUGAAAUUCAUUAAAACCCUUCGCUUCCGCCUUUCCUCUUUAUCGUCCCUUUUUUUUUUUUUUUAACCUUAAUCCGAAUUUAAUAACGAAGCACGUUACGUUGCGUCAUAAUUUUUAUCGAACUUAAAAACAAAUACUUUUUCUUUGUGAAUAAUAAAAGUAAUUUUAUUAUUCGAGCGUUUAUUCAAACGUUUAAUUAUUGUACGUGGUUUUCGUGCUUUUGCGCGCGUUCAGGUCGCCCCUCCUUUUUCCAAGAAAUGCAAGAUUCGAGUCCAGACUUUAUUUACCGCCGAUGAAGCGUAGAUGAACGAAGCGGCCAAUGUACCGUGUCUAAUCGGACUCGCAUUAUUGGGAAAUCACGAACCAUUACGAACGAGGGA